AGACUUGCAGUCCUUCUCCACAGCUGUGUUCUUUGCCGAUCGCAGAUUGCAGUCCUUUGUGAUUCCAGGAUAAAUCCAUUUUGCUGGUAAAAUAACUGGCUGUUUCCUUGUUUUAGGUUAGCAACCCCCUCCCAAGGCCAAGGCCACACCUGCUUCAAAGCAGGCUUGAAGAGCAGACUGGAAGCCUCCUAUGACGGAAGCUAGGUUCUUUGGGACUCAGUGACCUCUGUGCUGAGUGGAUACUCCUUCAGAAAGGCUUUUCCUUUGUUCUUCCAGAGACCCAGCGCCUCGUCUGUUUCCCUACGUGUGGCUCUAGGUGGCCUGAAAAAAGCAAGUUAUCCUGACGGCAUCUUCAGCUGCACGACUUGCUGACCAGCCCCGUGCUCGGCCUGAGAGAGGGAACCUUAGUAGAGGAUGUACCGGGGCCAGAGCCGGAGAAGGACGUUUUGGACCCAUGGGCGCGCCUGUUCACAGACGCAGAGGCUCGGAGAGCCUGCGUGUCCAGGACGACGCGUAUCAGGAGAGGGGGUCCCUGGCUGUGUUCCCGCUCUGUCCUCCCUAUAGCUCCCCGCACACCCGGAUGUGGCCCCGUGGAGCCGGCCCCCGGGGGCCCGGCAGCUCUCAGAGCGUCUGAGAUGCUGGUCUCCCUGGAAGGCUGCUUCCUCUGCUCAAAGUGGCCCUCCGUUUCUCACUUUUCUGUUUCGAAGGCUGCAUACGAGUGUACCUUCGGCAUGCGUCUCUUUUGGAGAACCUGUCACCUUGAAAGUCGUGCUGCCCAUACAGCAACCCCCCCCCCCAGCAUGGGGAGGGGCCCUUCCCAAAGCCAGUGACCAAGAAAGAAUGCUUUUCUCGCUUGCUGAAGCCGAAGCCCUUCCCAGCCUGUGGGCUCUCACUCCCUCUGCCCCGGGUUCUGACGGCUUCUGGUGACCGGCAGCCCCGUCUGUCCCUUCACGCUCUCCCCGGUGGGACCGGGGGCCUCCACGGCCUGGGCCUGCUCGUCUCGGUCUGACCUCCGGAGGUCACCUCUCAGUCGCUCUCCUGAAACCACCUGCAGGUCUCCUGGCCUUGUGGCCUUGUGGGUGAUCUCAGGGCCCCCCAUUUCUGCUCCUCCCCAUGGACUGCUCCUGGGUCCUCUUCCAGAAAGCUCUCUGAGUCUCUGCAAGUGUUGGAGGCACUGUCUCAACCAGGACCCCCUUUCUCUCCUGCCUUCAGGGACUGUCCCCAGCUGCCAGCAUGCCCACUUUAUUUGCGCUCACACGGCCUCGAGCAGGUACCCCUGCCCUCUGGUCUCCAGAGAGUGACUGUUGGGAGCAAACGUUCUUGCCACGUCCUGGCUCCUUCCAACCCGUGCGUGUGCUGCCCAUCGCUUGGCCUUCUCCCUGGCCGUGCCGCGGCCCCCGCUCUGGAUCCCGGGCCGUUCUGCCUGCGUGAGGACCUCACCGCACCAGCGGGGCCCCACCUCCUGCCCCCGUCCGUCACCCCCCUGGCUCCCCAGUCCCAGCAGAUACAGGCUCCCAAGCCUUUACCUUCGCAGGGAGCUGCGCACGUGGGCCCUUGAGCUGUCUUUUCUGAACACCGCCCUCUCACAGCCAGAGAGGAGCCAGCACACUGGUGACGGCCUGCCCCCGCUCACUCCAACUCCUCAUCCCGCAGAAAGGCCCAUCACCCAGUCACUGAAAGUGCUCCCCAGCGGAUCACCCGAGGCCCGCCAGAUCCAAAUUUAGGAAUUCUCCACAUA
rnacentral:lncRNA from 9 species